GUGGAACCAGCGGCGUGCGUCGAGGGAGGAAGGCGGCCGCGAUGCGUGGCCCCAGGCCGACUACUUCCUCUACCCCUGCGGGCGCAGGCUUCGAUGAUGAUUUUGCGGAUGAAGACGUGGGCUGCCGGCGAACGAGGAUGUCGAGACGCUUGGGAGGCGCCGACUCCCCAAGGAGGGCAGUGUCGUCGAGCAUUGGAGAAGGGGCGCCGGGCGUGGGACGUGCUACUUCCGGCAUGGCACCACAUGCCGCCGUCGGCAAAUCAUGCAUGGCACGGAAGCGCAAAACUGAAGCUACUAACACAGCUCCGUCGCCAAAGAGAACAACCAGGGCUACUUCUAGAGUGGAGAAGGCCAGUUUUAGAGGCGGUGCAGAAAGUGAUGCAACGGCGGAUUGUAAUGAAGCAAAAAAGCAUCUAGAGCAGGAUAUAAGAAAAAAAAGAUCAGCAAACAAACAUGCAUGUCGAGACUUAUGUGCUGUCAUUGGACCCCACACAAAAGAGAAAGAAGAUAAUGUCCCUGUGGGUAGUAGUAAGAAUCCUUUUUCUUGUCCUUUUUUCAUUUUUUGGGCAUAUAUAUGUUUUGGGCGGACAAGUAGUUGUAAUAUAAAUUUUUCGGUAUAGAUGCAAAUGAUAACAACUGACAUGUACGGCAAGACGGUUCAGAAAGCUUUUGACUUCCUCGAUGCAUAAUACAACAUGAUAAUGUCCCAGUUCACCAAGAGAAUGCAGAACAGCCUGGUGGCGAUGGCCAUUGGUUCACCAUUGUAGUAAACUUGGAUGCCAAGGAGUUCCAAGUUAUCGAUUCCUUGAGGAACCCCAAUAAUGAAGAAUUGCAAAGCAAAGCUACACAGGCGCGCGUGAAAAUUAUCACCUUAUGGAGAAAAUUCACAGCCAAGCAUAAGGGAUGCAAGGUGCCUACCAUUUACACCUUCAGACUGCAAUACGUGGAGGGGUACAAGCAAAUUGGGAUCCACUGAGGUCUGUUCACACUCAAGGCCAUAGAACAUUGGGAUGGAGUGAACCUUCCAAAUUUGACGGAGUUUGAUGAAAUGAAGCUGAGGAUGAAAGUUCUCGCCGAAUGGUUUUAUAGCCCCGCAAACAAAUUAGAACACAAGAGUGCCUUUGUCUCGAAGGGAAAGGCAAAAAUGUCACAAUAGUAGGCUAGGAGCGGAGUGGUGGAGGGUGUGGAGGCAGCAACAACAUUUUUUUAUGAUGUAAAUGCAUGAUCUUUUUAUGUAAUAUAUGGGGGGAUCCCAAACUAGCAACCUGUGACCAUUUGAAUAAGCAGCUUGAGUAGCAACUCACGAAACACUUAUGUAACUUUUCGUUUUUGAAAUGGCAACUUUCUAUACAGACAUGCACAUGUUCCUGUUAUUUCGGUUUUUGGAAUAGCAACUUUUCUA